rnacentral:rRNA from 1 species
UACGGAGGGUGCGAGCGUUGUCCGGAAUCAUUGGGCGUAAAGGGCGCGUAGGUGGCCUGCUAAGCGUGCGGUGAAAGCUCGGGGCUCAACCCCGAGUCGGCCGUGCGAACUGGUGGGCUUGAGCACUGUAGAGGCAGGCGGAAUUCCGGGUGUAGCGGUGAAAUGCGUAGAGAUGUGGAGGAACACCAGUGGCGAAGGCGGCUUUCUGGUCUGUAACUGACGCUGAGGCGCGAAAGCGUGGGGAGCAAACAGG